GUCGAGCGGACUUUUAAAAGCUUGCUUUUAAAAGUUAGCGGCGGACGGGUGAGUAACACGUGGGUAACCUGCCUGUAAGACUGGGAUAACUCCGGGAAACCGGGGCUAAUACCGGAUAACUUUUUUCCUCGCAUGAGGAAAAAUUGAAAGAUGGCUUCGGCUAUCACUUACAGAUGGACCCGCGGCGCAUUAGCUAGUUGGUGAGGUAACGGCUCACCAAGGCAACGAUGCGUAGCCGACCUGAGAGGGUGAUCGGCCACACUGGGACUGAGACACGGCCCAGACUCCUACGGGAGGCAGCAGUAGGGAAUCUUCCGCAAUGGACGAAAGUCUGACGGAGCAACGCCGCGUGAGUGAUGAAGGUCUUCGGAUCGUAAAACUCUGUUGUUAGAGAAGAACAAGUACCGUUCGAAUAGGGCGGUACCUUGACGGUACCUAACCAGAAAGCCACGGCUAACUACGUGCCAGCAGCCGCGGUAAUACGUAGGUGGCAAGCGUUGUCCGGAAUUAUUGGGCGUAAAGCGCGCGCAGGCGGUUUCUUAAGUCUGAUGUGAAAGCCCACGGCUCAACCGUGGAGGGUCAUUGGAAACUGGGAGACUUGAGUGCAGAAGAGGAGAGUGGAAUUCCACGUGUAGCGGUGAAAUGCGUAGAGAUGUGGAGGAACACCAGUGGCGAAGGCGACUCUCUGGUCUGUAACUGACGCUGAGGCGCGAAAGCGUGGGGAGCGAACAGGAUUAGAUACCCUGGUAGUCCACGCCGUAAACGAUGAGUGCU
rnacentral:rRNA from 1 species